GACGAACGCUGGCGGCGUGCUUAACACAUGCAAGUCGAACGGAAAGGCCCCCUUGUGGGGUACUCGAGUGGCGAACGGGUGAGUAACACGUGAGUAACCUACCCUUGACUUUGGGAUAACUUCAGGAAACUGGGGCUAAUACCGGAUAGGAGCUCCUGCUGCAUGGUGGGGGUUGGAAAGUUUCGGCGGUUGGGGAUGGACUCGCGGCUUAUCAGCUUGUUGGUGGGGUAGUGGCUCACCAAGGCUUUGACGGGUAGCCGGCCUGAGAGGGUGACCGGCCACAUUGGGACUGAGAUACGGCCCAGACUCCUACGGGAGGCAGCAGUGGGGAAUAUUGCACAAUGGGCGGAAGCCUGAUGCAGCAACGCCGCGUGCGGGAGGACGGCCUUCGGGUUGUAAACCGCUUUCGCCUGUGACGAAGCGUGAGUGACGGUAAUGGGUAAAGAAGCACCGGCUAACUACGU
rnacentral:rRNA from 1 species